rnacentral:rRNA from 1 species
UACGUAGGGGGCAAGCGUUGUCCGGAAUCAUUGGGCGUAAAGAGCGUGUAGGCGGCCAGGUAGGUCUGCUGUGAAAACUCGAGGCUCAACCUCGAGACGUCGGCGGAAACCGUCUGGCUAGAGUCCGGAAGAGGAGAGUGGAAUUCCUGGUGUAGCGGUGAAAUGCGCAGAUAUCAGGAAGAACACCCGUGGCGAAGGCGGCUCUCUGGGACGGUACUGACGCUGAGACGCGAAAGCGUGGGGAGCGAACAGG